rnacentral:lncRNA from 1 species
GUCAUGUUUUAAGAGUUUUACAAGCUUUAUAUAUUGCAUGUGUCUUAUUGCCUUAUAUAUUGAGUUCAGUUAUUCAUGAGUUGAACAGAGCCAAGGUAAGUGUCCUCGUGUUCUCUUUCAAAGCUUUAAUUGUGGUUAGCUUCCCAGCUCGCAUACUCGUACAUUCAAUGUACUGAUGCCAGUUGGCCUGCAUCUUCUAACGAUGCAGACACAGGU